rnacentral:rRNA from 1 species
GUCCUGUUGAUGUUAAUUAUAGGUCUGACCUGCCCACUGAGGAGUUAAAUGGCCGCGGUAUAUUGACCGUGCAAAGGUAGCAUAAUCAUUAGUUUUUUAAUUGGAAGCUGGAAUGAAAGGUUUGAUGAGGAAAAUUCUGUCUCUGUGAAAAUUUAUUAGAAUUUUAUUUUUGAGUAAAAAAGCUCAAAUUUACGUAGAAGACGAGAAGACCCUAUAGAGUUUUAUAUUUAGUUAGAAAUCUAGGCUUGAGGGAAUGUAUACUUAGUUUCUAGUAAAGUAUUUAGUUGGGGUGACGGAAAAAUUAAUUAAACUUUUUUUGCAUUUAAACAUUAAUUUAUGGGUGAAUGAUCCUAAUAUAUUUAGAUUAUAAGAUUAAAUUACCUUAGGGAUAACAGCGUAAUUUUUUUUAGAGCUCUUAUCGAAAAAAAAGAUUGCGACCUCGAUGUUGGAUUAAAAUAAAUUAUUGGUGUAGAAGCUAAUAUAUUAGGUCUGUUCGACCUUUAAAAUUUUACAUGAUCUGAGUUUAAACCGGCGUGAG